GCCUUCGGAAAGUACUUCCGGGUUACUUGACACAGGUAAAAACAUUGCGAGCAUAGUUGGGAAAACGUAAGUAUAGUUGCGAAAACGUGAUAAGUAUAGACAUAAACUCCGUACGUAUUCUCGCUGCAUGUCCUUUGUUCCCCGCAACCUUUAAGCCGACACUUGCAUUGUAUUAAGUGUCCAAUCACCUUAGCCGUUAGCUUUAGCAUACGUACCUCAGCAAAGAUGGCGCCACCAGGAGAAAAUGCCCCAAUGUCUAAGUCCAUGCAGACUUUCAAGAGCUGCUGGAGCUGUCGACUCAUCUGCGGCAGUGGUCUCAUCCUAUCCGGAGCCUAUGUUUUUAACGCCGCCCGCAACGCGAUGCGCCUCGGCGGGCCGACCUCUAUGGGAACGGUCGCCCAGAUUACUUUCGCUGCAAGUUUGGCCGCGUGGGGAAUGGUUGUCAUCGUUGACCCUGUGGGAAAAGCGCAAAGGAAGACGUGAGAAGAGAGGAAGCUUGAAUGGUCUCAUUGCACUACAUCGGCCUGUGCUACUGGUCACCGGACAGAUUAUAUUGUCAGCAACACAUUGCAGGCAAUCAAUGUCAUUUCAUGAACUAUUAAAAUACAUCAUACACAGUGCUGUCAGUUAGUCAGAGUUACCUUUUAUUAGUGUUAUACUGAUGUGAGCAGUUGCUCUCAAAGGUUUGUCGGUAAGCGUGAUGCAAAAAAAAAAAUAAGUCUUUCAGUCGCUUAACGUGAUCAUGACAUUCUGAUUGUUUUAUAGAUUAAAGUAAAAUAUGAAAAUAGAGUUGACAGUACAUGUAGGCACACUAUUGACAAAAUGUACACAAAUGC